rnacentral:rRNA from 1 species
AUACGUAGGGGGCUAGCGUUAUCCGGAUUUACUGGGCGUAAAGGGUGCGUAGGUGGUCUCUUAAGUCAGGAGUGAAAGGCUACGGCUUAACCGUAGUAAGCUCUUGAAACUGGGAGACUUGAGUGCAGGAGAGGAAAGUGGAAUUCCUAGUGUAGCGGUGAAAUGCGUAGAUAUUAGGAGGAACACCAGUAGCGAAGGCGGCUUUCUGGUCUGCAACUGACGCUGAGGCUCGAAAGCAUGGGUAGC